AGAGCCAGCGUUAGAGACAAGAGCCCUGUGAAAAAGGCCAAAGCCACAGCCAGAGCCAAGAAGCCAGGAUUCAAGAAAUGAGGAGCCACGCCUUGGGGGGCACGGUGCAAAGUGGGCCUUCCCUGGGCUGUGCUGCAGGCACAGGGUGCCCCUGUCCAGCCCCUUCAUCUGUGUCUGA
rnacentral:sRNA from 1 species